GGGAUAUGAUGAGUGGUCAUUUUCUUGCAUAUCUGUGCGGGAUGGGCGUCCGCCCUGCCUGGUUACGACAACUGGGCGCUCCCAUCAUAACCGAUCUGAUCCC